AUUGAACGCUGGCAGCAGGCCUAACACAUGCAAGUCGAGCGGAUGAGAGGAGCUUGCUUCUUGAUUCAGCGGCGGACGGGUGAGUAAUGCCUAGGAAUCUGCCUGGUAGUGGGGGACAACGUUUCGAAAGGAACGCUAAUACCGCAUACGUCCUACGGGAGAAAGCAGGGGACCUUCGGGCCUUGCGCUAUCAGAUGAGCCUAGGUCGGAUUAGCUAGUUGGUAAGGUAAUGGCUCACCAAGGCGACGAUCCGUAACUGGUCUGAGAGGAUGAUCAGUCACACUGGAACUGAGACACGGUCCAGACUCCUACGGGAGGCAGCAGUGGGGAAUAUUGGACAAUGGGCGAAAGCCUGAUCCAGCCAUGCCGCGUGUGUGAAGAAGGUCUUCGGAUUGUAAAGCACUUUAAGUUGGGAGGAAGGGUUGUACGUUAAUACCGUGCAAUUUUGACGUUACCGACAGAAUAAGCACCGGCUAACUCUGUGCCAGCAGCCGCAGUAA
rnacentral:rRNA from 1 species